rnacentral:ncRNA from 2 species
ACGGUGGCAAAUCCUGUGGAAUAAAUAUAGGCUUCCUUGCCAAGAGGGAAUCGGGUGAGAACCCCGAACUAUCCCGUAACUGUGAUGCGAUGAGCUAAGUCAGAUACCUCUCUAACUGAAGAAGUGCUU